rnacentral:tRNA from 1 species
GCCCGGGUGGUGAAAUUGGUAGACGCGCUGGACUCAAAAUCCUGUUCCGAAAGGAGUGCCGGUUCGAUUCCGGCCCCGGGCACCA